GUUAUUUAUAUAGUAUGACAUCACAAUGGUCAUUAUGGUCAGUGUAAACCUGUUUUAGUUAAUUAUAUAUCACAUGGUCAAUUCUAUUUUUGAAUUCUCAAUUUCAUUGGUCCUUUAAAUUCCCUCUCUUUGCUUUGUCCUUUUUGAUCUGAUCUUCAUACUGACCAGAUGUAUUUAUCUUAAGACCAAGAAGAAAUCUAUUGACUGUAAGUAAUUGUUUUAUAUUUUAUGCUAUUAAGAUUACUGCUUAUUAAUAAAGUAUAUUAUAUUUGCUAGAUAAGUAAAUGAUAUAUAGUGAAAUGUAAAUCUAUUUAAAUGUAAAUUAUCAUGAGUGAAAACUUAGUGUUUGAGCAACACUCAUUAUAGUUAUUUUAAUAAUCUUAAGCUAGAUAACCUAAAUGUAGUUUUAAGAGUAUUGCUAUAUGUAUAUAGAUUCCAUACCUGAAGAAUAUAGAAGGAUCAUGCAGAUGCAGAUCAAUUAGGCUUUGUGUCACACAUAGAGCUUAUGAUAUAAUAUAAAGUCAUAAUAGAGAACCCUA